UUUUUACCUCCUAGAAUGAAUUCUUCUUUAGUAAUUAUUCUUCUAAGUCGGAACCCAUCCUCCAGUAUGUGCAGGUGGUGAGGAGCAGCAGGCACUUGGAGCCAGCCCCUUCCAAGGGCACCUGGGAAAGAUGCAUGGCAAGUUGCAACAGGGAGCAUUCUGAUUCCACAAGGGAAAACCCACUCCGUGGUGGGAGAGGUUCCAGGGACCUCUGGAAUAUGUUGCCUGCAGAGACUGUGGGAUCCUCGCCUUGAAGGUGUCACUGAGCAGCAAGCCCUUGAGCUACUGGAUCUUGCUGAAACAUUAGCCUUGCCUUGGGCUGGAGGACGGCGGCUUGUGACCUUCAUGAGCCCUUUCGAAUAACUUUAUGCUCCGUGCAAUGCCUUUGUAAUGUGUCCAACAGGUACUCUUAAAAAUGUUAAAACACGGUAGUUAAAAUGUUUCUAAAGCUGUAGUUAAGAACAGAAGCUUUACAGCAGCAGUCAUGAGGAAAGCAAACCGGCCGGCUAUUCCUCCUUUAUAUUAGGGUGCUAUUUGCUCUCCUGCUGUUCAUUUUCUGAGCCUUUACUCAAUAUUUUGCAAGUAAAACCCUUUCUGCCUUCUUCAGUUCCAUCCCAUCUCAGCAGAGUAACAUGUGACCCAACUUUAUCUUUUACUGAGCACUAAAUUUGGUUAGAUUACUGUGGGAUAAAACCUGCCAAAUUGACCAAAGCAUGAUGAGAGAUAUAAUGUGUAUUGGUUGCUCAGGCGGUAUGACCUGUGCUCAUAUGCUCUAAAAGAAUUGUUAUUUUCUUCAUCCCUCCAGAGUCUACCCUUGCUUUCGUUGAAAUGCUGCUACUCAAUCCAUAGGAAUGGCAUUAGCCUAUGUUUGUGACCCCCUCAAAAAUCUCAUGACCUUGUAUUAGUUAUUUAAAGAGCCCAUGAUUGAUGUGCUGUAGUUUCACAAAGCAUCCGUGCUUUAGGGGUAUGUGUUUUUGCAAGUUAUCAGGAGUUAGGACCAAGGAGUUAGGAUCAAGAGUUAGAGGGGUGACCCAUACAGACACAACCUGGCUUGCAAUAUUCUCCUACUAUAUUUUCCCCUUCCUCUCUCUCUGAGUAAAUGGAGACUUUGCAUUUGGUGAACUCUUCACAAAUUCAUCCGGAAUUUUUACACUGUAGUCAAACAUUUCAUUGAGAAUUCCUUGCCAACUUCAAAUAAAUUAGUAAAAACAAUAGCUCUACUGAAACUGGUUAUUUGGUGCCCCCUGGUGUUUCAAGGAUCAGCCCAAGGAGAGGGAUGUGCCAGCAGAGGGACACUCUCGCCCACGUUUAUGGGUACCAGCAAUAUUCCUUGUGCACGCAGUAAACUUGUGCUGCUGGUGGGAAAAGGCACAAAAAGCCAAGAACUGUUAU